UACGAAGGGGGGCUAGCGUUGCUCGGAAUCACUGGGCGUAAAGGGUGCGUAGGCGGGUCUUUAAGUCAGGGGUGAAAUCCUGGAGCUCAACUCCAGAACUGCCUUUGAUACUGAAGAUCUUGAGUUCGGGAGAGGUGAGUGGAACUGCGAGUGUAGAGGUGAAAUUCGUAGAUAUUCGCAAGAACACCAGUGGCGAAGGCGGCUCACUGGCCCGAUACUGACGCUGAGGCACGAAAAGCGUGGGGAGCAAACAGGG
rnacentral:rRNA from 1 species